GAACUGCGAUAAGUAAUGUGAAUUGCAGAAUUCAGUGAAUCAUCGAGUCUUUGAACGCACAUUGCGCCCCCUGGCAUUCCGGGGGGCAUGCCUGUCCGAGCGUCAUUGCUGCCCUUCAAGCCCGGCUUGUGUGUUGGGUCGUCGUCCCCUCCGGGGGACGGGCCCGAAAGGCAGCGGCGGCACCGCGUCCGGUCCUCGAGCGUAUGGGGCUUUGUCACCCGCUCGAUAAGGACCGGCCGGGCGCCAGCCGGCGUCUCCAACCUUUUUUUCUCAGGUUGACCUCGGAUCAGGUAGGGAUACCCGCUGAACUUUAGC
rnacentral:misc_RNA from 1 species